AACCGAAGAGAUAUGUAAAAGAGAUGGUACUGUAAACUCGUUUGUGUUACCAUCAUCUAAUUUAUCAGUCUACAAAUUCGGAUAAAUGUAAACUCUCUCCAGUAAAUGCAAAAUCGACAACCGUUAACUUUCCUUUGCAAACUGUUGAAGAAUUCGAAGAAUUUGAACGAAAUCUUGUCGAGUCCUUGGAAGUACAAAAAUUCUACGUUAAUGAGAUAAAGAUGAUUGGAGGAUCUGAUGCAGGCAAAUUCAUACCAGAGCCACAUUGCGCUUCUUAAUGUCGAAUCAGCUAGCAAUAAAGUAUUCUUGGUCCGGUCAAAGAAACACAUUAAAAUUUCAAACUACUCGAAUUUCUCAACUCAUUGUCGAAACCAUCUC